ACUGCUCAGUAACACGUAGAUAAUUUGCCCUUAGGUGGAGGAUACCCUCGGGAAACUGAGAAUAAUACUCCAUAGAUUUAAACUGCUGGAAUGCUUUUAAAUUGAAAGAUUUAUCGCCUAAGGAUAAGUCUGCGGACUAUCAGGUUGUAGUUAGGGUAAAUACCUGACUAGCCUACGACGGAUACGGGUAGUGAGAGCUUUAGCCCGGAGAUGAUAUCUGAGACACGAUAUCAGGCCCUACGGGGCGCAGCAGGCGCGAAAACUUCGCACUGUGCGAAAGCACGACGAGGGAAUCCCAAGUGCUGGCUCGUAAGAGUCAGCUGUUUUUCUGUCUAAAAAACAGGGAGAGUAAGAGCUGGGUAAGACGGGUGCCAGCAGCCGCGGUAAUA
rnacentral:rRNA from 1 species